AUUGAACGCUGGCGGCAGGCCUAACACAUGCAAGUCGAACGAGUGGCGGACGGGUGAGUAAUGUCUGGGAAACUGCCUGAUGGAGGGGGAUAACUACUGGAAACGGUAGCUAAUACCGCAUACCAUCAGAUGUGCCCAGAUGGGAUUAGCUUGUUGGUGGGGUAACGGCUCACCAAGGCGACGAUCCCUAGCUGGUCUGCGAGGAUGACCAGCACAACUGGAACUGAGACACGGUCCAGAGUCCUACGGGAGGAAGCGGUGGGGAAUAUUGGAAAAUGGGGGCAAGUCUGAUGCAGCAAUGCCGCGUGUAUGAAGAAGGCCUUCGGGUUGUAAAGUACUUUCAGCGGGGAGGCGUUACCCGCAGAAGAAGCACCGGCUAACUCCGUGCCAGCCGCCGCGGUAAUAC
rnacentral:rRNA from 1 species